AACGAACGCUGGCGGCAGGCCUAACACAUGCAAGUCGAACGGACCCUUCGGGGUUAGUGGCGCACGGGUGAGUAACACGUGGGAAUAUGCCCUUAGGUACGGGACAACAGCUGGAAACGGCUGCUAAUACCGUAUGAUAUCGAGAGAUCAAAGAUUUAUCGCCUAAGGAUUAGCCCGCGUUAGAUUAGGUAGUUGGUGGGGUAAGAGCCUACCAAGCCUACGAUCUAUAGCUGGUCUCAGAGGAUGAUCAGCCACACUGGAACUGAGACACGGUCCAGACUCCUACGGGAGGCAGCAGUGAGGAAUAUUGGACAAUGGGCGAAAGCCUGAUCCAGCCAUGCCGCGUGAAUGAUGAAGGCCUUAGGGUUGUAAAGUUCUUUUAGUAGUGAAGAUGAUGACGGUAACUACAGAAAAAGCCCCGGCUAACUCCGUGCCAUCCGCCGCCGUAAGAC
rnacentral:rRNA from 1 species